rnacentral:rRNA from 1 species
UACGGAGGAUGCAAGCGUUAUCCGGAUUUAUUGGGUUUAAAGGGUGCGUAGGCGGGACUGUAAGUCAGGGGUGAAAUCCCACAGCUCAACUGUGGAACUGCCUUUGAUACUGUUAGUCUAGAGUAUAGUUGAAGUUGGCGGAAUGUGUCAUGUAGCGGUGAAAUGCUUAGAUAUGACACAGAACACCGAUCGCGAAGGCAGCUAGCUAAGCUAUAACUGACGCUCAUGCACGAAAGCGUGGGGAUCAAACAGG